rnacentral:piRNA from 1 species
UAGAUGACGUAGUCUUCCUCCAAAGUCA